rnacentral:rRNA from 1 species
GAUGAACGCUGGCGGCGUGCCUAAUACAUGCAAGUCGAGCGAACGGACGAGUCGCUUGCCUCUCUGAUGUUACCGGCGGAUGGGUCAGUAACAAGUGGAUACCCUACCUAUAAUACUGGGCUAACUCCGGGAAACCUACGCUAAUACCGGCUGCUUUUUUGAACCGCAUGGUUCAAAAGUGAAAGACGGGCUUGCUGCCACUUAUCGAUGGAUCCGCUCUGCAUUUGCUAGCUGGUAAGGUAACGGCCUACUAAGGCGACGACGCAUAGCCGACCUGAGAGGGUGAUCGGCCACACUGGAACUGAGACACGGUCCAGACUCCUACGGGAGGCAGCAGUAGGGAAUCGUCCGCAAAGGGCGAAAGCCUGACGGAGCAACGCCGCGUGAGUGAUGAAGGUCUUCGGAUCGUAAAACUCUGUUAUUAGGGAAGAACAUAUGUGUAAGUAACUGUGCACAUCUUGACGGUACCUAAUCAGAAAGCCACGGCUAACUACGUG